CUUAAUUGAACCCACUGGGUUUUUCUCAGUCACACAGGAAAACCAGAACCCUCAGAGAGCACACGCCUCUUUGUCACCUGCGUCUUACAUGUUGACACCUGGCAUUUUUACAUUUUGAUCCAUUGGAUCCAGAGGACUUUGUGUUUCUAUUCAGAACUGUACCUGCUCAUAGCUACUGCCAUCUUACAUAAGCAUGAUCAUUUCACCCGGAUCUAUUUAUGUUAGGAUCUGCAUAAAAUGUCCUUUUCCCCUUCUGUUAUACUGUAUGGCUGUCUGUCUGUUUUCCCCCUGUCUGCAUGAGUGGGUGUGUCUCCUUGUCCUUUUCCCUGCAGGUUGGCCGGAGAAACCCCUUUACCUACCAACUCACCUGCUGCAGAUUACUCUGAUUGCCACCACUCACUCCUUCCUCACCUGUAUUCACCAGAUUGUUUUGUCUUCCUCCCACUAACACGCAGCCUUCAUGCUUGCCUUCUCAGCUUUUGAUCCCAGCCUCUGUGCAUCUGGACAGAUACUCCGCCAAUUGGGCUCCGAGGCAGCGGAGCGAGAGCUAACCUGCCCGGUUGGCUGCAAGUCUCUGACUUUAAAGGGAGCAGAUUUUGUUGUUUUGCUGUUUGUCACAAUCUACAAAAAAAGGUGCAUCCAAUUCAGCAAUCAUGCUGUGGAGAGGAAAGGAUGGGGGGAAAAAAGCUGGGACGGGCCUCUCUGGAGCCACUGGGAGUGAUGUGUUUUCUCCAUUCAACCUUUUUUCCUCACCCUUUGUUCUCAACGGCCGAUCAUCUACUUUUGGAGCAGUUUUACAUUUUAUUAAUUCAUUGUAAAUAAACGCUUUUAAAUGA